rnacentral:rRNA from 1 species
GGAUAUUGGACCAUGGGCGCAAGCCUUAUCCAGCCAUGCCGCGUGAGUGAAGAAGGCCCUAGGGUUGUAAAGCUCUUUCAACGGUGAAGAUAAUGACGGUAACCGUAGAAGAAGCCCCGGCUAACUUCGUGCCAGCAGCCGCGGUAAGACGAAGGGGGCUAGCGUUGUUCGGAAUUACUGGGCGUAAAGCGCACGUAGGCGGAUUGGUCAGUUAGGGGUGAAAUCCCAGGGCUCAACACUGGAACUGCCUUUAAUACUGCCGGUCUAGAGUUCGAGAGAGGUGAGUGGAAUUCCGAGUGUAGAGGUGAAAUUCGUAGAUAUUCGGAGGAACACCAGUGGCGAAGGCGGCUCACUGGCUAGAUACUGACGCUGAGGUGCGAAAGCGUGGGGAGCAAACAG